CACGUAGGCGGAUAUUUAAGUCAGAGGUGAAAUCCCAGAGCUCAACUCUGGAACUGCCUUUGAUACUGGGUAUCUUGAGUAUGGAAGAGGUAAGUGGAAUUCCGAGUGUAGAGGUGAAAUUCGUAGAUAUUCGGAGGAACACCAGUGGCGAAGGCGGCUUACUGGUCCAUUACUGACGCUGAGGUGCGAAAGCGUGGGGAGCAAACA
rnacentral:rRNA from 1 species